rnacentral:tRNA from 1 species
CACCCUGUAGCUCAGUUAGUAGAGCAUGGUGUUUGCAACGCCAGGGUUGUGGGUUCGAUUCCCACAGGGGGGC